CAGCUAUGGAUGAAGAGCCGGUCUGAAUUAAAGAGGCAGUUUUAAUAGCGCUCGAAUAGCCUGCAGCAGUGACCACCAGCCUGUAGCAUUUUUAACGCCAGUAUUUGGCUCUGUUUUGAAGCCGCAUUGCUACCACAUCACGAUGUAAGUAAAGUCUACUGUUUUAAUCCAGGUACUUUAAUUGUCACUUCCCGUUUCUCUGCUUUCAGAGCUUUAGCAUCUGCUGUCCUCCUCUGUGCCCUGUGUUUGAGUGACUCAAGAGGCACGUGCCAGCAGCAGCAGGUCCAGCACAGAGCAUCCCCUGCUAUGGCAGAGCCACCACAGUGGAGAGGCUCAGCCCACCACACUGCAAGAUGACACUGGGAAAAGGCACCUGCACUGCAAACCACUGCAAGCAGAAAUAUUGCAAGUGGGCCAGCAUUAUUACUCCCCAAGAAACGUGGGCUUUGCAUUGUAGCAGUAAGUACUGCGGAUCACUUAACUGCCCAGCCCCGUUACUCUAAGCUGCCUAUAAAUAAAUGGAGAGAGAGACAGAGAGAAAGAGAGAGAGAACAGCUUUUUUAAAAGAGCUCUACAAUUAAUUUAGUCGAGUUAUCUCUAGGUACCUUUUCAGGAGACAAUCAAGCCAAGGAACUAAAUGGAAACUUAGACAGUGAAGACCUGGAAGUAUUAAAUUCGUCCUUUGGUGAGUUAUAGGAGGCAGAGGAAAGUAAUUAUUUGCCGGUGAUUGGGGGAAGGUGGAAGUGCCAUUGAUGACCAAUGCUGCAUUGAGCCUGCAAGCUAAACCCUGACCAGCACAUAGAUUUUGGGUUAGUGGGCUGCCCAAGCAUCAGCAUUGCACACCUGAAGCAUGCUCGGCUCUCCAAAUGUCCUUGCUUUGUCCCUGUCCCAUCAUUUUUUUGGGGCAGUGAGGGGGUUAGAGUGAGUAUCUUCUGCCAGAGAUGGGUGCUGCCCCACUCCCCUGGCUUUGCUUCAGGGAGUGAGUGCCCCAUAACACAUCUAUAAUCACUGUGAGCACACGUGGGCAUUCUGUAAUGUUUUGUUUGAAUUCUCCGCAGUGAGUUAUGGGUGAGGUUUUCCUUUUUAGAAAAUUAGUUUUUCUCUUCUGUACGCCAUUAAUCACAACUAAUGAUGUCUCUGGUGGUGAGGCAUUCCCAGCAACUGAGGAAGAGCAUCCUACACCAUCAGCUGCUGAGGGCUGCAGCCUCCGUGCGGACCAGCCUGGGCAUGGCCAGCAUGAAUUGCAGGGGCUUUGCUGGGGGUGUUCAAAGGUCUGAGCCGUGCAGAAGCUGCUCAUCUCUCCCACAAAGCUGUGUUCACCCCUGACACAGCCAGGCAGGGUUUUGGAGUCAGUCUCCCUUUCCACUGAGGCCAUGUCCCAAGUUCAAGCACCGCCAAAUUUAGGUUUGCUGUCUGAAGGUCAUCCGCAUCCAGCCUGGCAAUGCUUGGAUUUAGGUAUCACACUGAAAAGGUCUUUUCUGGCUGCUCUGUCCCCAGGACCAGGACCAGAUGCUGAUGCCACCCUCAUCAGGACCCUUCUCCAAGCCCUGCCUGCAGGACCAGCACAGCCCCAGCUGGGAACAGCCCCAGCUCAGUGCAGGACGGCAGUGGGGAGACAUGGGAACGUGCCUCAGAGGCAAAUCCAAGCCAAAAUAACAAAAUGAACCUGAUUGUCUCUCUUCUGUCUCUGUCAGCCCCUGCAUAGUGCCCCUGUUUUGCUUUGGCCAAGGUGCCAGCUUUGCUGACAGUGAUUACAGUCCUGAGAAAGGACAAAACCCCUGCAUUAGCAAACCACUGCCCCGGCAAGUGGGAUCAGGAGUAGGCAACAUAAAAGGGCCUGAUAUAUUGAAGACCUUUCCACUUUAGCCUCAAUAUUCUAAUAAAGACAUUUUAUAUAGACAGCACAGAAAAGCCAAAGAAUUUAUCAGCAUUUGUCGAUAUUCCUAAUGAAGCAGAAGAUUCGACAUGCAAUAGAAUUAGCCUACAAGGAACCCUUGCAUAGGGCCCAUCCUUCUGAGUCCAGAAAUCUCCUGCCUAUUCCAGUCCGAUACCCUUUUGAGAAAUGAACAUCUCUUGAAGCCAUUAUCAUUACAAGCUAAAAGGCCAAAUGAGACAAAGUACUGUUGCUCUUCAUCUGAAUAAACAAAUCAUUUUUAGAUCAAAUGCAUUAACAAUUUAUCAUGCUAAAAUCCAAUCAAAAGGAAAAAACAACAAUACAGAACAUUGAUUUCCUACAGCUUUAUCUUAAUGAAGUGCACAUUCCCUUUGUAAUUAGCUUUGGAAGGUUUUUUUUUUCCCCUUUCCUGAAGUUAAUGUGUUAUUUGAUUUCCAUCCAAAUGUUACUAAAUCUGAGGAAAUUUCCCCAAAUGAAGUGGCUUUUGAUAAUACAGGAAAAUGUCUACUCUCUCAUUUGGCUAUUUUUCCCCCAAACAGCCGUACCUGUACUGCAGAUGAUUCAACUUUAUUGCAUGGUGUCUUUGCAAGGAUGUUUAAAUCAAUGCCAUAGUUGCUGUAUUCUGCACACUGUGCCAUUUGUAAGCCAGAAAAUACAACCUCAUUGCUUUUAUCCUUCUUCUUACAGACAUCAAAUAUUAAUUUAAUUUAUAUUAUUACAGGGAAAAAGUGGACUGUGUUUUAUUAACAUUUCUAAAAUUAUAGGUAUUCAACCCAAAAAGUAUGCUCCAGACAAGGCUGGGGAGUCUUCCGCUUGGAUUUUAUUUGACUUAAUUAAAAAGCACUCAGUUCCUUUGGGCACUAAAGUAGUUGCUGACAGUGCAGUAGCCACUCAGUCUUUCAAAACUAUUACCUGAACUUAAUAAAGUGUCUAUUUAGUUUAUACACCUCUGUGAACUCACCUGUCUCCCACAGACACGAUGCGGUUCCUGCUAAUGGCUGGCGAAGGCAGCAGGCUGACGGCAGCCCCCAGACACCCCGGGCAAAUCAGCUGCCCCGAAACACAAAUCCCAUCACCUUUUACCUUCCCUAUCUACCUUUAAUACCAAUAUCCAAAGUGUUCAAGUCUCCUCCGUGCUUGUAACGAUCAAAUGUGCACUGCUGGAAAAGCUUUUUCCAGGCCGCCUCUCCAUUCCUCCACUGAAUAUCUCGUUUAAAUCUUUUCUUCUUUAAAUGAUGCUGAACAGAGGACUAUUGCUUUCAUCCUGCUUCACUGAGUAUUUGCUGAAAUGCAAUGGCUAAUUUGAUAGUCCGGUUUUAUUUGGAUGUAUUGCCAAGGCAGACAGCAAUAUCUCUGGCAGAGAAUAAAGCCCCAAACCCUACCAAUUACCAGCUCAGUCCUCAGUCGUACAGGAGACCAAAAGUGACCUUAUCAAAUCCUUGGCUCUCAAUGCGAACAACUCUGUCUUAAUACAGAUUUUUGGCCUUGUAGAUAAAGGUCCUUAUUUUUACACAGACCAAGAAAUGCAGAGCACCCAUGCCUGGAGAGAGCUGCAAAGCCCAAGCCAGGGCUGAGGAGCCCUCGGAGGCUGCGUGGCUCCGAGCAGGGCUCUGAGCAUCCUGCUGGGAGCUGCCCCUCCUGAAACCAUGGCCAGAAAUAGUUUUCACUUUGGAUUUCCAAACUCACACACUCAAAGAGAACAAAGCCGUUCCCUAAUACAGUUUGUGCAUUUUAUGGACCGAACAAUUAAACAGGUUUUAAAACAUCUGCUGACUGCAUAAUUCCAUACAGGGGAGUGCACUCAGCAUUUUUAAACAGCAACGGCUACGAGAUACCACUUAAUAGUACAAAAUACCAGCAGUCCCGUUAAAAUCAAUAGAAAAUUAGAUGCUAUGAAAAUGCAAUAUGUGUCCAAUUAGUUAUAAUUGGAGCAAAUGGUGAUGCAGAUAAACUCCUGGAGUAAGACGUAUUUGUCCAGACCGCUCCCUGCUUGCUUUCGGCAUGGCGCGGUAUCGGCGGUGGCGGGCCCCGCUGUAUCCUAUAGCAUGAAUGAUGAUCCCUCUAAUACACGUAUGUUAACUGUUAUCUAAUUAUGGAGCUGCUCAGAGCCUGCAGGACUGCUUCGGUGCCCCAGCGUACGUGGUGAAAAAUGAUCCUCUGUCACACAGAAACCUCCCUGUUGUACUUGACAAAUUAUGCCAGCAAACCUGUUUAAGAACUAAAAAAUCCUUGGACACGGUGACAGGCCAAGAAAUAUGUUGUUUGGGGACAGAUAUUUAUUUAUUUAUCCGACGGAGGUUAAGAACUGUAGCUCAGUUCACUUUUCUCCUGCCUGUCUGCUGCUCUGGCAGCUCAAAACACUUCUCACCAAUUAUUUUGCAGGCUUCUUUCAACUUGUAAAAACUCAGUCGCGAGGCAAAACAGGAACUAGGUUAUGCGAUGCUAAUGCUUUAUUUUUAACAUCUUUCCUGCAACACGGUGGCCUUCUCCUGGUUUAAUCUUAUGCCUAAAGAAAAAGAGCGACAAUCCCGCUCCCCAUGCAAAGGCACAUCCCCAGCCGAGCAUCGCCGUGGGCCAGCGCUCCAAAUCCCUCAUGCCCUUGCGGAGUACGGAAGCGUAAAGCCACUCACAUCGCUCCUGGUACAACAAAUGUUAUUAAUUUCCAGGGCUAUUUUUUCCUAUAAACAUCUGCAAAGUAUCAGUUAUUUUACACAAACUGUUGGCUCUGAGCUAAGAAGCAAUAACCAUCCCCCGGGCUCUUAUUUUAUUCUGGUUUUAGGUUAAUAAUUCAAAUCAGCAACAAGGACUGAUGGGAGCAAAGAAAAAAAAGCUCGUUUACCCAGGUCUGAAACCUUCCUGCAUUAUUGCUACCGUUACUUACACCGGUAAGAGAACUGUCUCUCAAGAAAGAGUAAAAAAAAAAGAGGUGGCAGCUUUUAUUUGUUACGCUGACUCAGCCGGCCGGUGGAACAAGAAAUGUUCAGACCCAAUCCAUAACUUUUGUGGCCGCUCAAAGGACAUAUUCUUCCUCGACACUGAUAAAAGUUUAAUAUGUAGUUGCCCGGGUUUUUAAUAAACUUGUCAACAAAAGAGCAAAGCAAAUUGAUGGGGACCUUCCCAGGAAUAAAUUCAGCUUCAAAUAGGCCAAAUGAGUGUGGAGGACAGAGAGGGGAAGGCACACGGGCAACUUUUGCUGUUCCUUGCAAAAAUGGCACAAUGGAUUUUAGCGGGUGCGUAUGUGUGUAUGCCUUAUUAUCUCCGAGACAAGGCUUUAGGACAAAGCUAGCUUAAUUUAAAGAACGCAAGCUGGUGCAGCGCACAGUGCAUCACGGCCCUGACACAGCGAGGAAGGGGGGGACAAAGCCCCUGUAUUAAAUUAAUGGUGAAGCCUUUCGCCGAUAAAGAAAUGCCAUUUCUUUAUCCACGUCUGCCACACCUCUCCCAAAGGCUCGAGACAUCCCCUGCCCAUACCACAGUCACUUUGGGACAGACCCCGAGGUACGCUGCCACAGACUUUGCUCAUGUGCCAAGUGCCGGCGAUGGAAGCAGACAGCACCAUGCUCAGCACCGUGCUCCCCCCUCUCACCCUGCCUGCUCCAUGGGCUGCCCGUGCCUCCAUCCCCCUGCCCAUCCGGGACCCCACUUUGCAGAGUCACCCCCAGCUUUAGAACCCAAAUCCCCCACUACACAUAUUUCACAACAUCCCCUCCGGCUGCCACCUGCACAGGAAUAUCCCCCACUCUACCAAUCCAUCCCCAUUCCCUGCUUCAGCUUUUCACUUCAAAUAAGCCAGGCAAUGAGCUUCCUUCGAGCAAAAGGCCAUCCUUUCUGGCUGCCUCCUGCAGCCUCUGGCUACACGUGUGGCCGACCUCGCACCCAGGCACGGCUCUGCUGCGGCCAGGUGAGCAGGAUGUGCACCAGCUGCAUGCUCCCUGCAAGCCUGGGAGGGAAACCACUGCAGGAGAUUCAUUAUUUCCUAUUAGCUCCCAUCAAGCCGGUGCCUUAAAUUAUUAAGACUUGUUUUUCUUUUUUUUUUUUUUUUUUUUAAUUUGUUGACCCGAAGUAAACACAAGUAUUAAAUCAGAUUCCAAUAAUCUCUCUGACAGCAAAUUAACCCGCUGCGUCCGAGAGAGGAACUGGAAGCUCUGCUCAACAUCUCGCCUCCAGCUCCGCCGUCCCCGCAGGCUUCGCGUGCGUGCAACAGGUUAAAAAGCAGAAGGCCAGAUCCUGCCUCCAACCUCGGGUCGCUUCCCAGAUUGGAAGCUCUGCCCCGGCUGCUGCGGUGAACUUUAUUCUCGACCGCUCUUAGGUCACCAGAUUCCUGCUGCGGGAGCUUUAUCCGACUCCCCAAAUGCCAGGGGCGACGUGCCUAUGUAAGGGCUUUGCAGGAGUGGUUCCUGCCCUUACAGCUGCUUGGGGACUUCUGCGGUCGGCGGUCACGAGCCCUGCGCCUCCUGGCUGCCCAGAUGCCACCUAAUCCGGCCGGCAGGAGGGCAGCUGAGAAUGAGCACUAUUUAUUUAUACCAGCUGCUCCCCGUCCCCGGGCUGGUCGCUCUGCCCGUGGCUUUUUUAGCUAGAGGUGCCCGUCCCCGAGCAGGCCAUAUCUGGGCAUGGCGAGGCAUUUACAGGCAGGGCGCUGUGCUUCAUGAAAAGAAGAAAGGGGGAAAAAAAAAAAAGGAAAAAAAAAAAAAGAGGAAAAAGCCUGCAUCUGUUCAAGUUGUCACUCACCCUGCUUCCCCUGAACCCAGCACCCAGCUGGCCUCCUGAGCACCACCAGCAACUGCUCCAACUGCUAAACCUUCAGCUAUUAAGUUCCCCCUUGUUCAGAACGUGUCUGCCCUCCGCCAGCCUUCCACCUGUGCACACAGCUACCCGCACUUGGCCUCUGUUCCUCGGCACGGACCUUUGUGCAAGAAAUACAAGCUAGGAGCAGGGACGCAUGCUGACGCUGGUUAAACAGCACGGGAAAAAAAAUGCUUUGGGAGCAUCACAGGGCGGCAGGCAGAGGAGGGUGACUUGGAGGCUGGACAGGACUUUGCAUUUUGGCCAUUACACACCCAGAACAAGCUCGUCCUUGGGCAGCUGCAUCAGCCUGACGCGGCCUUCUCCAGCCUUACCCCCGUGGUGCGAGCAACGGCUUCAACACCUCUCCAGCGAGCAGCCACGCUUCUCCUGGGGGAAAGGGAGGCAGGGGAGCUGCAGGGCUGCAGGCAAGCCCCACGAGCAUGAGGCUGCUCCUGCUGUGACCCCUGCAUCCCGGCGGGGAAGCACCUUGCGGCAGCGCUGCACAGGCACCUUAGGUCAAGAGCAACUUCAGCAGCAAGCACUAAACCCAGCGUCUUCGCUGGGAGGGAAUUGCGAGCGCUGUGCUGAAAUCAGCCCCGGGCUUUCAGGGGAGGGAUGCCAGCUCUGGAGCGAGGAUAUUUCUCCUGCGAGGAACACACCACCCCCUCGCCCACAGCCACUGCUAAGUGCAAGAUGUGGUGAAACUCUUUAAAAAUAGAUAUAUUCCCAAGCAAUGCAUGCCGCUUGCAUCUGGCAGGGCAAACCCAGCAUGGAAGAUCUCGCUUACUGACUAAAAAGCCUCGUAGCAGCUCAAGGCUCGUGCAACCUUGACUCUCUCCUCCUCUCUUCAGGGCCCGCUCUUCUUCUUGGCCUAACCCAGUCCUGGGAAGCACAAGGGAAGCCCUGCCCAGCUAGGCUGGUGUCAAAGGCAGGGAAAGAUACUGCAGUGCAGUGCUGAUCUCUUCUGCAAUCGGACGUGCAGACUAGCCCGAGUGCUGAGUCAGCACAAUUUCUUUUUUGAUUGGUUGAUCCGAGUAACAUACUUUCAAUGUAUGCUAAAGGGGCAGCAAUUAAUACGGUUCUCCCCUUUCCCCACCUUUCCGAACCGCUUCGAAUCAAACACACAAAUCUCACCCCCAAAGUCACUCUCUGGUCCUAAAUAUUCCGAGGUUCUUUCAUUUUUAAUUUAGGGCAUUAAAUUUUUUUUUUUUUUUGCAAUCUAAGCGAUGCUCACUUUGAUCGACUUGUGCUGCAGCAGCUAAAAUAUCUGUCCUGCAGGUCAAUCUAAUCAUGCUUAAUAGCAGUUUAUUCUUCAACGCAACAUUUUUCACGUUGGGUCGACAGUUUUAAAUGAGAUUGCUGAUGCACCCCUUUACUAAUGCUUUUACCAGGGCCAGCACAUCCCUUGAAAUACUCGUGCAAUAAAAUGCUUUAUUGCUCUUGAUGAAUGCACUAUUAAACUUGAAUUGCAAACAUACCCCCCCUUUUUUUUUAUUUCAAAAGAGGGUGCUGGAAUUUAUUGGACCACCUGUCUUCCAAUACUAAGUAAUAGUAACAAGAGUAAUAAUAGAUCAUCAACAUAAAGAAACGCACAAAACUAAAAAAUAAAAAAUAAAAAAAAUGCUGGGGAAAACCGCACGGCACGAAUUCAUCCCCACACUCCCUUGUGCGUGUGCAAAAUGCCCAUUUUCUACCUGCCGCUAGUUCCGCUUACAUGAGGAAAAUCCAUCUCGGGAACGGCUGGGUUUUGUGAGGCAUAGAAUAGAAAAAUUUAACUAAUUUGGUCCACUGGAUUUAUGGCUUUUACAAUCCUCAGCGCUCCUGCUCCCACGGGCGGCACUGCUCAGCGCGCGCUGUGCAGGGCGGUUGGGCACAGCUGAGCAUCCCGCCUCGCCUCGCCACCGCAGCCCCCUUGUAUGAAGCACGGAGGAGAAGAGGCUUAAUCAUAGCUGAGAAACAGAGAGAACCUAGUGCAGAGGAGCAGUCCCAUUUUUAAUCCAAAGAGGGAAAAAAAGAGAGAAGGAGCUGCCACUAAACGCAGAAACAGCGCAAAGUGUUUGCUGAAGGGCCAAAGCCCUCAUUUUCUUCCACCGAUCCUAUUGGCAAAUGGGCUGCCGUGGCAUUCCCAUUUAAUUUUACAUUCCCAUUUACUUUUUGACAUCACCCGGGAGAGGACAAGGCCUCAGGAUGCACCCUGCACCCCCAAACCUCCAUCACGUGCUCCCGCGCUGUGAGACAGCACUCGGAAUUACGGCUUGGAAAAUAUUUACAUAAAAAAUAAAUCUGAGCACUUAGCGACUUCCUAAAGUUAGCAAUUCCGUGUGAUUAACAAGCAUAUUAAUUCAGAGGUGGGAAGGAGAUAAAAAUUGCAUUAGGAAUGCAGGUAUCUGCUGUAAAUCAGACCGUGAGCACCUUCACUACAGAAAUGCACAGUGGUGGAGGAGGCUUAGUGACACCUGCACUGGGGGAGAAAGGGAAGAAAAGCAAGACUAGAGAACAAGGGGAUGGGAGAAAGAACAAGGAAAGAAGGAAAUAAAAGAAAAAAGAAUAAGGCAGAAAGCAAGCAAGCAAGCAAUAAAGAGAACAGGGAAAACAAGUAAGCAAAAGACGGAAAAAAGGAUGGAAAGGAAAAAAGGAAGGAAAAGAAAGAAGGGAGAAAAAGGAAAGGGGGAAGAGGUGGGGUAGAGGGUCAUCAGAGAAAGGAGGGAAUUUUGUAUCAUGGCCAGACUGGUGAGAACCAUCCUAAUUUCCCACCCAGUGACUCAAGCUACCAGUGAUGUUUUACAAGGGAGCGAAACUGCAGCGAGGCUUGGGCAUCAGCGCUCUGUGCCCGGCCUCUGCUCAUUUCCCAGCAUCCACACCCUUCUUACUGAAAUCUGGCCUCAAAAUAGGGCAGGAUGUCCACAGUGGCUAGGACCCAUCCUCAGGUGACCCAGGGACAUAAGGGACUGUCCCCAGGGCCCAGAGGAUGAUGUCCAAACUGUCCCUUCCCAAAGCCCGCUGGCAAAGCAAAGAACGGAUCCUCUGCUCCCGGGAAGGGGCUGAGCACUCCGCGCGCAUCCAUCAACUGUGGUGUUUGUAUUUAAAAAAACAGAAAACCACUAUUAUUAAAUCCCACUGAAUAAUGUACAGAGGAAAUCUCCAUGAGAGCCCAGCCUGCCUUUUCUAACCUGCUAUUCAUGAGCGCCUGCUUCCAGUGAAAUCCCCUUUGGCACACGUGUAACAAGUGACAGCGGCGCUCGCCAUGAAUAGCGGCGGAUCAAGGCUUGGUAAGGGCCCGAGGAGCACUUUUGCCAAGAGAGAUGUGCUGAAACUGCAGGGAAUUCACUCAAAAGCAGAACAUUACAGUGCCCUUGUCUGCACAGUGGGGUUGUGGAGAUAAGUUUGGGUAGCUCAGGAGCAGGUGGGACUUGGAAGUUUGGUGCCAAAGUGACAAGAAUUUGUCUGAAAGGGGAAGAUUGGGGCUCAAAGCUUUACUUGCCUCUUACCCAGACAGAAAUUUAAACUUGUUCACCCAGAGUAUCAAACCCAUUUUUACCACCUUGCCUCAUUCUUGCGGGAUCCUGGAAAUGUAACCAGAUAUUUCACGGUGCAAAAGGUUAAAAAGCAAAACCAAAAUGCGGUAAAAGCUUCCCAAAUCCGAGGAGCUAAUUUUAUUAUUUUCCUCUAGGAAAAUAACAGGCAUCUGUUCAAAGCGCUCCCGUGCCUCUAGUUGUGACCUAGUCACUCAAGGGCUGUUUCCAAGCAGUGUGUUGCUGGCACACAGACACAGAUUUCCUUCUCUCCAGUUUUAAGCACAAAAAGUUUUAACACAGGAAAGAUUCAAACACGUGAAGCCAAAAUACUGCACAUCUAAGUCACAACUCUUGUAUCUUUUUUCUCUUUCUUCUUCUCCCCCACUCCACCUCCUUUUAUUUCCCCUAGAUUUAACGAUCAGGCAGCUCGGGUUGUUACCUAGCCUUAGCUGGGGGGAAAAAAGGGCUGGGGGGGAGCAGCAAAAAGGAGGGACCUGCCUGCAUCCCUGUUGAAAACCAGGAGUGGACGGCCAGCCUUCCUCUGGCAUUGCCUUUCAAAGCCCAUGCCGCAGUCAGCAUAUUGAAUAUUUAAUGUCCUGAUGAGCAUUUCCACCUGCUGACACAGGCAAAGUGACAGAACAAUACACGCACUGGAACAAGAUCAUCAAUUGACUCCCCAGCCAGUCUGCCAUGUCAGGCAUUUAAAAAAAUAAAUAAAUUAAAAAAAAAUCUGUCUGUCUUUCUCCCCCCCCUUCACACGGGGUCACACACCGCUCCUCCGAGAAGGGUCCCCACCUGAAAUACAUACUUCUUUACAUUCCAUAGAUUGCCAGGUUCAUAUGGGCAUAUAAAGAAGUAUGUCUCUCAAGCAGGUAGUUUCAAUAUGCGCAUUUAUAUGUUCAUGGGAGAAAAUAGCGCUGAUGGACAAUUUACAUCCCGGGAGUGAGUUAUGGCACAGUUUGAACACACACACACAUGCACACACACACCCCCUUGCUCCCCUGCUCACGCUAUUUGCUGGUGAUCUCAGCUUUGCCCUCGCAGGUUUCUGGUUUUUGGGGCUGGGGGCUGUGCACCGGGCAGAAAGUGCCGGCAGCGUGGCCAGCUGCCCUGCUCUUUGGGGCUCUUUGUCACGGAAAUGGCACAGAGGGGGGACCCAGCUCCCAGCCCACCUUCAGAGAGGGUGUUCCAGCUGGAACCGCAAACUUUCAGCAAUUAAAAAAAAGCAAAAAUGUGCUUCAGCAGAAGGAAUUUCCUUUGUGUGUAUACAUAUGUAUACAUGUGUAUCAUUUUAGACAAAGACAUGCUGGGGGAAGUUAAAUAAAUAUUAUUUCCCCAUUGCCUCCACCCUGCAAUUUAGAAACAAAAAGCCAAUUUGCUUUGAGAAAGCCCGAAUCCAAUGUCUGGCUGCUGAUGUACAAAGCACCACCAGGAAGGACCUGCUCUAUCUGCCAGAGCAAGAAAACUCAUCUGCUACAGACAAGCAAUUGCUUCCAUCAGUAAGUAGAGAUUAAAGCAUAGGAAGAAGAAAGCGUCUUACCUAGUGAAUCCAAUGAUUUUUCCUCUGCUGGUCACCACGAGCGAGACACUACCUUGCAGAUAAGCCACCCCCAAAAUGCCUUUGGGAGAGUUGAGGGUAUUUAAAAAGCAAAAAUUAAAAAAAAAAUAAAAAAAAAAUCGCUUUUCACAAGUCAUCCAGCCAGCUGAGGAUUCGGGGGGGGGUGGGAAGACACCUGCAGAGAUGCAAACUAAAAAGCAGCUGAAGCCAGGUGCCGGCAGCUUAGGCCGAGGACUUUCCGAGUUGUCCCCGCGGGAUGGACGUCCGCGUGUGCCCGUGUCCCUCGGGGGGCUCGUCCCCGCGCGCGGCCCCGCUGAGGCUCCCGCUCGCUCUGCCCUCGGCCAGCCGCCACGCUGAGCUUUAAAGCUCCCGAACAAUGUGGCUGCGACCGUGGGCCGAGCUGAAUAGGCGGCCGCUGCGGGCAGGAUUUCGGCGGCGGAGGUCACGGCGGGCGCUGGCUGCUCGCUCAGCACCGCACGGCACCGCACGGCACGGUUGGUGGGCGCUCACCUGCGCCCCUCGCCCCGCCGCUGCCGCUCGAUAGCAAUUUGCAGGCAAAUGCACAACGCCCGCCUCGGCGCUAAUGAAUUUGGCCGUUCAUCCCAGGCUCCUAAUGAAGCCUUUAAAGAGGGUUUAAGUAAACUUAGCGAGCGGCAAAGUAAGCACUUUGGAAUACCUAAUUGCAUCGAUGCUGUGCCACUUCUCUGUAAAAUAUCGCUGUGAGACGGGGAGUAAAUAUUUCCCUGCUCCCAUCCACUUCCAUGGCCCCGCAGUGCUGGGGUGUGAGCCCCCCAGUGCUGUGCACCACGCACCAGCUCGGGCAAGUGCCUGAUCCUGGCUCUGGGCAGUGCCCUUUCUCAGUCCUGCCAGUGCUGCUGGCCCUUUGGAGCAUCGGUAUUUGUCUAAUUCUGAGGCAAAUUUCCACCUUUAGUUUGGAGCAAGGGAAAGAGAGAUGGAGCUGUGGCACCAUGGUAAUGCAUGACUGCAGAGAAAUUAAAGUGAAGGGAGAACUGAGGAGUGUGAGGGAAACUCUGGGCACUUAAGAAUCAAAAAAAAAAAAAAAUAGGAAAAAAAGAAAAAAAAAAAAAAGAGCACAAAAACCCAAGUGCAGGUGGGUUUUGCAUGGCCAAGACACUCUGAGGGUUGAGUUGCCCUCAGACAGACAAGAGCAGGCCAGGUGCAUGGAGUGGGGCAGCCGCUUGACACGUUGGGCCAUUAAAAAUUUACAACUCAUCCCCAAUCUGCCUUCCUCAAAUCCGCCCAAACACACGCAGUCCUGAGGAGCCCCAAACUUCCACAGAUGUGUGGGACAGCAGCUGCCCUGCUCCCUUCUCACUUGGGGUGAGAGCUGCGUCGUGGCCUGUUGGAUCCCCACUAAGGCUGGAGGCCAUGGCACAACCACGACUGCAACGCUCAUCUUCCUGCUUGCUCAGGAGCAGAUUUGGGUUUAAAUUUGGUCAUGAUUUGCCCAAGGGUUGUCCCUUUGGGUGGAGGAGCACACAAGCAGUGUGACGAUGCUUUUAAUAGUGAGGCCGGGGGCACUUUGUGGUCCACGUCCUGCACUAACAGCAGGAGGAAGCGGUGGUGGGCGAGCAGCACCCAACGUCCUCAGCCCACCUCGGUGUGCUGAGCUCUGGUGCUUGCUCGGAGCAGAAAAAAAGAAGCACAAUGAAAUUGUGGUUGUGGUGGAAAAAAAAAAAAAAAGAAAAAAAAAGAAAAAAAAAAAAGCAAGGAAAUGUGGACAGUGCAGAGGCCAAGGAGUGAAUAAAAGUGAAGGGAAGGGAAGAGCCUGAGGUGCUGGGUGGAGGGGAAGCAGGGUGGUGGGAGGGAUGGAAAGCAGGGGCCACACACCAGCUCCUUCCUCUGCCCCAGCCUCGGGGUGCCCCUCAGGUCCCAGUGGCACAGUCGGGCUGCGGCUGUGCAGCACAAAACUUCAGGACUUGAAGGCAGCCUGGAUUUGGGGCUGGGCACAGGGCAGGGAGAGGCCAGCGGGGCCAAGGCAGAGACACAGGGCAGGGGCUGGGCUGGCCUCAGCCCUUCGGGGAGGCAGGCACAACCUCCUGCUCCAGAGAAAUGGGCAGUUAAAUCCACAGCCAGCCCAGCUCGCAGGUUUCUGCCUACACCAUUGCACACGACAGCUGAGUGUACACUCCCCGGCACAGACAUAUGCACAUAGCACUACUCUAACCACAGACAGGAGGUGCAUUGCAUUGGGAUCGAAUGCUACACCUGCUUAGAGACAGCAUUUAGGUAUCUCUGGAUAAAGCUCUGUAAAAUACACAUACGCAUGCUUUAAAGCAUAUCUGAAUUUGUGUGCACGCGGGUAUAGAGCACAGCAUCCCUCACCCAACACUGAUGCACAUAUAUUUAUGCGACUAGGUAUCACCGCUCUCAUAUAAAAUAUAAUGACCACAGCCAACUCUUAGCUGCAGGAGCAAUAACAGCCGAUUGCUGGAUGAAGUGUAACCUGAAUUUCAAACCCCUGGCAGGAAAACCUAACUUCUCCUUACAUUUCCUUUCCGACCAUCCCCAAGCCAUGCGCCUGCAAUUAAUGCUCUUUCCUCGGCAUUUGAACAGUUAAUCACCGCGGCAUUGAGAUCAUCGCAAGUUAGGCUAAGUUUAACCACAUUUCACCCUUUUGCUCUGGCUGGUAUUAGCUCAUAGCCGCUAGUUUGGUGCAAAUAAAUAAAUAAAGCCCCAAUCCCCCUAGGUGUCAUUAGCCAGCCUGGAUCUGAAUUAGGCAUUUAAAGGCCGGUUUAACCUUGCAGAACGGUUGCAUGCCAAAGUUCUAACAUUUCAGUUCAGAUUAUUCUAGUGCACUGCUUGCUCUGCAGUUUGUUGCUUUUUUUUUUUUUUUUUUUUUUUAAAUGCGGAGUAUGCCACAGCAGAACAACACGAAAAAAAAAGAAGGGGGGGGAGAAGGUCUGCUAACCCAUCCACCGAUUAAACACAGCCGGCACAUCCCCGCACAGACACACACACGCGGCACACACACACACAUCUGCCGGAUGCAAAAGCAGACAUUUAAGUCCCUGGGUAAGUUGGAUGGGCACUCAGUCCUGCAUCGGCCAGAAAAGUGUUUAAAAAAGAGCUGAGCUGGUGUGGUUAAAGGGAAAGACAGGGAGCAGAAGAGGGGAAGGAAAAAAAAAAAAAAAAAAA